UGAGGAAUAUUGGUCAAUGGGCGCGAGCCUGAACCAGCCAAGUCGCGUGAGGGAGGACGGCCCCUACGGGUUGUAAACCUCUUUUGCCGGGGAGCAACGGGCGUCACGUGUGGCGCCACUGAGAGUACCCGGAGAAAAAGCAUCGGCUAACUCCGUGCC
rnacentral:rRNA from 1 species